rnacentral:rRNA from 1 species
UAGGGGAGAAAUUCCAAUCGAACCCGGAGAUAGCUGGUUCUCCUCGAAAUAGCUUUAGGGCUAGCCUCGAUACAGAUUUGCGGAGGUAGAGCACUGAAUUUCCUAGGGGGCGUCAAAGCCUACCGAAGAAUAUCAAACUCCGAAUGGCGGACAGAUGAUGCUGGGGAGUCAGACUGCACGAGAUAAGUUGGGUGGUCAAAAGGGAAAGAGCCCAGACCUACAGCUAAGGUCCCAAAGUACGUGUUAAGUGGAAAAGGAUGUGGGAUUUCAAAGACAGCUAGGAUGUUGGCUUAGAAGCAGCCAUACAUUAAAAGAGUGCGUAAUAGCUCACUAGCCGAGAGGUCCUGCGCCGAAAAUGUCCGGGGCUAAAACACGACACCGAAGCUUAGGAAUCAGAAAUGAUUGGUAGAGGAGCAUUCUUAAAUCAUCGAAGCUGUACCGAUAAGGAGCAGUGGAGGUUUAAGAAGAGAGAAUGCCGGAAUGAGUAGCGAGAAUGAAGUGAGAAUCUUCAUGGCCGAAUAUCCAAGGUUUCCAGGGUAAAGCUGAUCUGCCCUGGGUUAGUCGGGGCCUAAGGCGAGGCUGAGAAGCGUAGCUGAUGGACAACAGGUUGAAAUUCCUGUACUGCCUUAUAACAGAACUGUGGGGACACAUGUUCAGGUCGCGAGCCGGGAAAGGAAAGCCCGGUGCAAGCAGAGGUUAUCGGUGGGAGGCAAACCCCCCACAAAAGAGAAGACUGCGAUGCGGAGCGAAGAAAAGUAGCGAAGAGCGAUGAGAAUGUGUCGAGAAAAGCCGCUAUUGUUUAUAAGGUACCCGUACCGUAAACCGACACAGGUGGAUGAGGAGAGAAUCCUAAGGCCGGCGGAAGAAGCAUUGUUAAGGAACUCGGCAAAAUGACCCCGUAACUUCGGGAGAAGGGGUGCCUGCGAGAGCAGGCCGCAGAGAAUAGGCUCAAGCAACUGUUUAGCAAAAACACAGGUCUAUGCGAAACCGAAAGGUGAGGUAUAUGGGCUGACGCCUGCCCGGUGCUGGAAGGUUAAGAGGAGAGGUUAGCGCAAGCGAAGCUUUGAAUUUAAGCCCCAGUAAACGGCGGCCGUAACUAUAACGGUCCUAAGGUAGCGAAAUUCCUUGUCGGGUAAGUUCCGACCCGCACGAAAGGCGUAAUGAUUUGGGCACUGUCUCAACAACGCACCCGGUGAAAUUGAAAUACCAGUGAAGAUGCUGGUUACCUGCGCCAGGACGGAAAGACCCCAUGGAGCUUUACUCCAGCUUGAUACUGGGAUUCGGUAUUGCAUGUACAGGAUAGGUGGGAGGCUAGGAAGUGAUAACGCCAGUUGUCACGGAGCCGCUGUUGGGAUACCACCCUUGCAGUAUUGGAUUUCUAACCAGCGACCAUGAACUGGUCGGGGGACAAUGUCAGGUGGGGAGUUUGACUGGGGCGGUCGCCUCCGAAAGGGUAUCGGAGGCGCUCAAAGGUUCCCUCAGAAUGGUUGGAAACCAUUCGAAGAGUGCAAAGGCAGAAGGGAGCUUGACUGCGACACCGACGGGUGGAGCAGGUACGAAAGUAGGACUUAGUGAUCCGGUGGUAUAAAGUGGGAUUGCCAUCGCUCAACGGAUAAAAGCUACCCUGGGGAUAACAGGCUUAUCACUCCCAAGAGUUCACAUCGACGGAGUGGUUUGGCACCUCGAUGUCGGCUCAUCGCAUCCUGGGGCUGUAGUAGGUCCCAAGGGUUGGGCUGUUCGCCCAUUAAAGCGGUACGCGAGCUGGGUUCAGA